GUUAUACUGCUUCUAACUGUCUAUUUAAUUAGACAA
rnacentral:rRNA from 1 species